rnacentral:rRNA from 1 species
UACGUAGGGUGCAAGCGUUAAUCGGAAUUACUGGGCGUAAAGCGUGCGCAGGCGGUGAUGUAAGACAGGUGUGAAAUCCCCGGGCUUAACCUGGGAACUGCAUUGGUGACUGGCAGGCUUUGAGUGUGGCAGAGGGAGGUAGAAUUCCACGUGUAGCAGUGAAAUGCGCAGAUAUCAGGAGGAACACCAGUGGCGAAGGCGGCCAUCUGGCUCGGUACUGACGCUCAGGUUCGAAAGCGUGGGGAGCAAACAGG